GCAUUCGGCAUUUCCUGUGUGCUGGGCGCUCCACGGGGGCCUGUGCGCUUCCCACAGCUGGGUAUUUCUUGUUGGUUUGUCUCAUAUAGGCCAGGGUGUGGAAUGCUGAAAGAACUGUGCAUGGGAGCAGAUCUGCACCAACGGGUGUGCUCAGAGUCGCACAGUGGGAAGACGGGGCUGCUGUCACCCUUAUUCCUGUGUUAGAGAAGAAACCAAGACUCCGGAGAUCACACAGCCUGUCUGACAGCAGGAGGCAGGCGACAGAACUAGAAACCAGGAUCCAAGCGGUGUGACUGCUGCAGUUCAGGUGUUUUGUUACGGUGAUGGAUAAAAGCAGACUCACCUGGAACCUCCCGAGUGUGGGAAUUACAGGUAUGCACCACCGAGGCCGGCUCAGCAUGGAUUCUAAACUCAUCACCAGGCUGGGAUCCACGCAGAAUGGGGUGAGGAGACCCCGUCGGAGAGUGGGAGCAUCGGGGUGACUGAUGAUGUCUUCCUCACAGGGGACCUGGGGGAGGCUGGAG
rnacentral:lncRNA from 1 species